CGCGCUCCCCAGCUGCAAGCCUCGCCUCGCGCGCGCCCCAGAGCCCCAGAGCCCCAGGGCCCCAGGGCCCGCCUCACCAAGGCCCCGGCGCAGGACAUACUGCAACUGGCGGAGGACACCUAAACCCUGCCUUCUUCGUAUUCACCGGUUCCUGAGGUCUGUGGAGACAUGUGCGCCAGGCCACGAGCCUUAAGAAAAACCCUGGAUCCUGAGAAUGAGGAGGCUCAGUGCCCCCCACCCCCCAAGCCCCCCGGAUGCCCCGUCUGGAUCUGCGCUCCCUCCCUGCUUCAAUCAACUCUGCUCUCACUUCCUCACCUCACACUCGUGUGUGAUCUCUGCCCUGUGUGAAGCCAGGACCCACCCGUGGGCCCAGCCAGCCAGUCCGUGUCAAUCCUCCACGUCAGAAAAGUAGAGGCCAGGAAUCCCACGGAGCACCAAGAAACACCCAGGAAUCUGGCCUUUACCCUUCGAGGACAGCAGUUAUAAUUUCAAAUAUUUUAAACGUGAAGUUUUUGCAACGGGGGGUAUGUAUGAAAUCAGCACGGGUAGGGUCCCUUUGGCAACCCUCUUGUCCGUGUUAGGAACGAAACCUUCUGGGUUGAUCUCUUUUGAAGUCCCUAUGACUUGACUUCUCCUGUCGGAUUCAGCACCACAGUUCGGGAGAGUCUCCUGGUGUGUGGUGACCAACAGACUGUUAUACAUGUGAACACACAGAUUGAAAAGAGCAUCUCCACGGAAAAAAGACCCUGCUAGAGGCACCUGCUUUGUACAAGGUUUUAUAGGCUUUAUAAGGUAAUACGCAGCAGAAAAAUGGAAAUAAGUGGCGUCACACAUGUAGAGGGAGCAGCGGGGUUGUGUGUGCUCUUGUUUUUAGUUUUCUUUUUGGUGGAUGUGAUUGGAUAGAGGUCAAUUAGGUUAGCCUGAGGGAAUCUAGAAAACUUGCUCUCUGCACCUAAAUUAGCAAUUUCAGGCAGUAGAUAUCACACGCCCAAUUUGUUCAAAUACCUUUAUAAGCUCAUGGUAGAUAGAAUGUCUUCACCUUUGUCUUCCAAUCAGGAUACUUUCAUUACUGCUACAAACCAAAGUAAUUUUAUGGUUAAUUGGGAUCAGACAGGCUUCGGGAGAUACGGGGUGAAGGCAUCAACACCUACCAUAGAAACAAACAAAGCCGAGCCCUCUAAAGUUUGGCUUAGAGCCUGGAGUCGAUCGCUUGGCCUCCCUGCGGCCGGUGACCCCAUCAGGCCUUCUUUCCCCCAGACUUCCAACGGCUUUUGUAAAUUUAGGAAAUACCACAGGCUACCAUUUGGGGUGUAAAACUUGGUGAACCUACUUGGCAGGUUGUCUUCGAGGCAGGCGUGGAGAGAGCGACUGAGUCUUCUCUCUUCUCUUUUGCAAGGGCGGGGGGCGGGGGGGCUCUCCAGGGCCAUUCAUUCCUGACGUGAGAUUCCCCAGCGGUCGUCCGUGGUCCCGGAGGAGGCCUUGGCUUCCUCGGCGCUCCCCGGUCUUCCUCUCCGGCCUCGUGGCAUCCUGACGUCACAGGGCCGCACCUCACCCUGCAGCCAGGGGCCCCGCACAGCCUGCGAUUUCAGUUCCAAGCUUUCCUGGUUCCUGUGCCCUCUGCCAAGGACUCGCUUCUCUCCCUCUCCGCCCUCCCCUCCCACCUCCUCUUAAAGCGACUCGGCUUAUCGUCCCCUCGGGAUUCGGGUCGCGGCGCGCUCCUGCCUCGCGUGGGACGCGCGUUUGGCGGGGGCUGCGCGGUCACCCGGUGGCCGGCCGGCAGCUUCUGGGGCGGGGCGGCCUGCCUAAGGCGCCCUGGGCCCCCACCCCGGCCUUGCACGCCCUGAGCGAGAAUGCUGGGUGCGAAGGUGCGCAGUAGACAACCUAUCCAAGAUAUUUUGCCACCACCUCUUCAGCAUCUGGACUCCUACCAUCAUUGAUGACCUCUUCAACAGCUGAGUUGAUUCUUUAUUUUUUAAAAAUUAUUUUAAAAAAUAAUAAAGAAAAACAUUUAAAAAUUAUGUUUUUAAAGGGAGAGGGGAGGUAAGACAGAGGGGAAUAAAGAGAGAAAGAAAGAGAGAGAAUCUCAAGCAGGAGCCCAACACAGGGCUCAAUCUCAUGACUCUGAGAUCAUGACCUGAGCUGAAAUCAAGAGUUGGACGUUUAACUGACGAAGCCACCCAAGCAACCCUCAAAUUGAUUCUUCAGAUGUAAAACAAAGAACAACAGUAACAAAAACCCAUUUAUGAAUCAUUUGUACUUAUAGGAGAACAAUAUGAAUAUGUAAACAUGCUCUGACAACUGAAAAUUACACCAUGGGAAACUAUAUAUCUGCUUUAGCAAAAGGGACUGAAUGGCAUUUAGAACUACAAUAAUACAUGUACGUCUUACAGUCUGGUUUUUGGAAAAAUACAUUGGUUUAUGUCACUAGACUUCCUUGGAUUGACUCACACAAACUAACAGAUAAAGUACACUAGCAGUGAUUUAUAAUUGAAAAGCACGAAGAGCAGCAACUGAAAAUUAUGACCAAUUCACAACAGUGCUGAUGCAGUGUUUCAGACAGCAUCCUGUCUGAAAAUUGUAGGAAUUCUAACUAUCUGACUGCUCAUUAAUUGUGGGAGCUCAGCAGCCUGCCAAGUAUUGUAUGACCGCCAGCACUCCUCAUGGAAUUCUGUUUUAGCUUUGGCAAACCAACGCCAACUGAUGUAUUGAGCACAGUAAGCAUAAUGCCUAGGGCCCAGGAUACUUUUAGGGAGCCCACAUAAAUAUCUUAAUUUCUUUUAAAAUAAGAAGAAAAUAAGCAAAACAAUAAGGAUCUGCCUGAAUUAUAUUUGUCUUUAUACCAGUGCAGUUAUAAAAUAAAAUUUUAAUCUUUUUUAUGGAAGAAUAGGUCAACAAAAGCAAAAGUGCCUAGGACCUCCCCAAAUCAGAAGGCCCUAUGGUAAACUGUUAAUACUCUGCUAAUGUAAUCCACGGAUUCCAAAUCUUAGUGGGUCUUAAUAACUUAAAAAUAUAGCAUUUAGUGUUACAUGAAACCCUACAGAACUGCUUGUCAUGUGAUCAUAAGAAAGAACUUCAAUUCUGGCAUCUGGACUGGAGGAUACUCAUAGCCUACCCAUAAAUGGAGGACCAUUUUUAAUGAUUACAGCUAUUCCAUUGAUAUAUAUGUCUGUAAUACAUGAAAAUUUUAAAAAACCUUCUGUACAUCAAAGGACACUAUGAACUGAGUGAAAAAGACAACCUACACAGUGGGAGAAAAUAUUUGUAAAUCAUAUAUCUAAACGGGAGUUAAUAUUCAGAACAUAUGAAAAGUCCUAUAACUCAACAACAACAAAGUAACUAUCUUUAAAAAUGGGCAAAGGACUUGAAUAGACGUUUCUCCAAAGAAGAAAUCCAAAUGGCUAAUAAGCACAUGAAAAAAUGCUCAGCAGCAACAUCAACACCACAGACUGGAUUGCCUAUAUUCAACAGAAAUUUCUCACAAUUCUGGGGACUAGGAAGUCCAAGGUCAAGGCACUAGCAUGAUCUCAUUCUGGUGCAGGCUUGCUUUCUGGUUCAUAGAUGGCCAUCUCCUGGUCGUGUCCUUGAAUAGUGGAAGGCACUAGAGAUCUCUGUGGGGUCCCUUUUACAAGUAUACUAAUCCCAUUCAUGAUGGCCCUUCCUUCAUGACCUAAUCACCUCCCAAAUGCCCCACGUCUUAAUACAACCACCUUUAAGAGUUAGGAUUUCAACCUAUGAAUUUUGAAGGGACGCAAAUAUUUGACCAUAGCACUAGUUAUUAGAGAAGUGAAAACAAAACCACAAUGAGAUACUGCUUCUCAUCUAUUAGGAUGGCUAUUAUAAAAAAAAAAAAACUAACAAGUGUCGUGAGGACGUA